rnacentral:misc_RNA from 1 species
AAGUUCCAGAAGAGCAUGUGGAUAAAACGAGGGAGUUUUGUUGUUGUUGAUGAAAGUGGAAAGGAAAAGGCUUUAGAGUCAGGCAGCAAGGUGGCAUGUAUAGUUUCUCAAGUUCUCUUUUACGAACAAGUUCGAGCACUUCAGAAAUCUCCCGAAUGGCCAGAAAAUUUCAAGUCCACAACUUCUGAUGAUUCCAAUGGGUGUCUAUAUAGGAACACCUUGCAACAAGAAGAAGAUGAGCUUGAUGCAAGCGAUGAUGAUGGACUCCCCCCAUUGGAAGCCAAUAUGAACAGAAUCAAGCCACCGGGGUUCCAAUCAGAUGCAGAGACGAAUUCAGGAUCAGAUACAGAUUCUUAAAUGAUCAUACUUGUAGAACUCGAGUUUGUCUAAACUGACUCGAAAUUGUAAUGAAGGAAUGUGCCUCAAAUUUUCAAAUUAAUGCCUGCUUUUCUUAAGUUGUAUUUUU